rnacentral:lncRNA from 1 species
AUUCUUUCAAUUUACCAUAAGACUUCCUAAGAAGAUGUACAUUACAACACGCUCGGUAUAUACCAAUUGCUCCAAAUAGAUGUAUUUAGACCUUUAUUAUAACUAUUAAUAAUGGCAUAUGGUUAUAUAAAAUGCUUGCAUAUGCCCUCGUCUCUUGACAAUAUGGAAAAUGUUACUUAGUAUACAAUCCAAGGUAAAAUAAAUAAUGAGAAGUUAAUAAGGGGUGAAAGUGAAACAAACACAUUUAUUCAUCCAGUGAUGAAAUUCAUAGAUUAAUUAGAUUUUAUGAAACGAAAUUCCUAACACACAUCUCCUCAAUUCACCAUUUUUAAAUAAAUGGUUCCAUAUAUAUUAUUGAAUUAACUAAGAAGAUCAGGCCUGGUUCUUUCAACAGCCAAACAAGUGCUAAGCAAUUUCUUACUACCCUGAUAGAAAGUUGCAAAUUCAGCUGGCAUUGGUGUUUUCUUGAAUUCACCUUUACAAUCAUCCAAUCUUGUCAUUGCUGCUGAUAUUUUGAUGUUUGCACUUUUAGUUUUGUCACCUGUUUUCAACAACUCUUCUACCUCUUUCAAUGUCUCGAGAGCAUCAUUAUAUGAUUCUUUGCACCCUUUCCCAAUCUUAUUUUUUAAUUUUUGAUCUGUUGUUGGUGGCAAUUUUGCUAGCAUAUUUGCCAUAAUUGGCUCUGCCAAUUUAAUUUGCAUAAUUGUCUCUGACAACACACCAGUAAUUGCCUCUUGCCAUGUGUUAGCUGCCUUGACAACUUCAUUGCAAAAGGGCUUGUCUAAGGCUUUCACACAAAAUGGGCUUUCUUUGUAUGCUGGGGCUUCUUGUGCACUUGAUUGACAUGCAAAUAAAACACAAGUUAAAGCCAGAGAGACCAAUGACAAAGUAACCCCAUUUCUAUAAGACAUUUUCUAUUUUUUAUAUUGAUUUUUUUUUUUGCAAUUGUGAUUAUGUUUUUUUUUUUUUGUCACUUUUCUAAGAUGGUCUUCUCUGGGUUAAAUUUGAAAUGAAGAGGUAAAAAGUAUAUAUAAGUUUGUUUGGAACGGUAAUUGGGUGGAUGUUUGGAAUAUAUGGCUUGCAUUAUUUUGCUCUUUUGUUGUUGAAUUUUCCACAGCAUAAUGAGCACAUUUAUGAAUUAACUAGGAGUAGUUGUUUAUUCUCCCUCCGUUUAAAAAAGAAUAACCUACUUUGACUUGAUACAAAGUUUAAGAAAAAAAAAAAAACUUUUGAAUCUUGUGGCCUUAAAUUAAAGUUGUAUCAAAUGUAUCAAAAUGUCCUUUAAUCUUAUGAUCCUAAAUAUUAGAUAAAAUAUUAACCUAAAUAAUAAUAAUAAUAAUAAUAAUAAUAAUAAUAAUAAUAAUAAUAAUAAUAAUAAUAAUAAUAAUAAUAAUAAUAAUAAUAAUAAUAAUAAUUAGUAGAAAUUUACCAAAAAAAAUAGUAGAAGAAGCAGCAAUACAUGAGAUAUAAUAACAAUAAUAAUAAUAAUAUAAUAUUUUUAAAAAUUAAUAUUUUUAAUAAAAAAUGAUAAAAGAGAACAAAAAGGGAAAAAUAUAUGAAAAAUAAUAAUUAGUAGAAGUUUACCAAGAAAAAAAUAGUAGAAGAAGCAGCAAUACGUGGGAUAUAAUACUACUACUACUACUACUACUACUACUACUACUACUACUACUACUACUACUAAUAAUAAUAAUAAUAUAAGUAAAAAAUUAAUAUUAUAUGAAAAAAAUUAAAAUAAAUUGAUAGUAAUAUUUUAAUAUUGAUAACAUUAAUUUGAAAUAUUCUAUUUUAUUACAUUUAUUUUUAUUAUAGAAAAGUUAAUAUUUUUAAUAAAAAAUGAUAAAAUAAAAUAAAUAGGGAAAAAUAUGAAAAAAAUUAAAAUAAAUUGAUAGUAAUAUUUUAAUAUUGAUAACAUUAAUUUGAAAUAUUCUAUUUUAUUACAUUUAUUUUUAUUAUAGAAAACACCUAAUUGGUAUCAUUAAUUUCAAAUAUAUAAUUUUUGCAAACUCAAAAUAUCGAAUACUGUAAGAUAAUUAUGUCAUUUUAGAGUCAUCUUUCUAGUAUUCUAAAAAUUUUAAAAUCUUGAAUUUGAAAUGCAUUAUCUUUUUUUUCUAAAAUAAAAAAAAAUCAUUAUCAUUAACUUGAAAUUAGGAACAUAAGCUUAUCCCUUUCAAAUCCCUUUCAAAUAUAAUUUAAAAUAUAUUCAAAUAUUAAAUAAAAAAUAAAAUACUAAUCUAAAUAAUUUAUAUAUAUAUAAAAGCAAAACUAAAAGCAGACAAGAUGCCACAUGACAGCACAAUAGAAAGCCACAUGACAGUUUUUAAGACAAGGUUAUAAAUAUUGUAAUAAAAUUUUGAAUUAAAAUAUAAGAUGUUUGUAUUUAAAAAUAUUGAUUUUAUUUAAAAAUUAUCAUUAGCUUGAAAUUAGGAACAUAAGCUUAUCCCUUUCAAAUAUAAUUUAAAAUAUAUUCAAAUAUUAAAUAAAAAAUAAAAUAUUAACCUAAAUAAUAAUAAUAAUAAUUAGUAGAAGUUUACCAAGAAAAAAAUAGUAGAAGAAGGACCAGUACGUGAAAUAUAAUAAUAAUAAUAAUAAUAAUAAUAAUAAUAUAAGAUUUAAAAAAUUAAUAUUUUUAAUAAAAAAUGAUAAAAGAGAACAAAAAUGGAAAAACAUAUGAAAAAUAAUAAUUAGUAGAAGUUUACCAAUAAAAAAAUAGUAGAAGAAGUAGCAAUACGUGGGAAAUAAUAAUAAUAAUAAUAAUAAUAAUAAUAAUAAUAAUAUAAGUUAAAAAUUAAUAUUUUUAAUAAAAUAUGAUAAAAGAGAAUAAAAAGGGAAAAAUAUGAAAAAAGUUAAAAUAAAUUGAUAUUAAUAUUUUAAUAUCGAUAACAUUAAUUUGAAAUAUUUUGUUUUAUUAAAUUUAUUUUUCUCUAUAAUAUAUUACAAUUCAAAUUAAUCUCUAAAUAAUAUUAACUCAUUAUAAUUAUUUUCUAAAUUCUAUAAAUAUUUUGUUUCUAGUAGAAAACUAUUUUCCCCACAUUUAAACAUUUUUAUCAAAUUUUUUAAAUCAAAAUGAUGGGUAUUUUAGAUGACUAUAUAUCUUCGACAUGUUAGUAUCAUUGAGGUUAUACUUGAUUAAUGGUAAGGAUAUUUUAAUAUAUUUUUACAAAUUUUCAAUAAAUUAACACUACAAAAUUUGAGAGUUUUCAUUACUUUUUUUAUAUUUUAUUUUAUUAUGCCACAUAAAUUAAGAUGGGAUGAGAUGAUAAUUAGAAUAUAUCCAAAAUACAUAUAUUUUUUUAGUUAAAGUAUACAAAUAAAAAUAAAUGCGAAUACAAAAUCAAACAAAAGUCAAAGAAAUCAAAGCUGACCCAAAGCAAAUAAAGUAAAGGAUCGGAUUAUGGUCCAAUAAUUUUAAAAAUACAAGAAAAAUAUAAAUUAGGAAAGUAAACAAAUAUUAUUUGUUUUUGUCUGAACUCCAGAAGGUUCCUUUGAAAUUCUAUCUUUCCGCAAACAUUUUCUUUCUAUUAUGAUACUACAUAUUAUUUUAGCAAAAAAUUGAUGAAUAAGCUGAAAUUAUGAAGCUCAAAAUUAAACUUUUAUAGACCAAAUACUGAAGAGUAUGUUCCUACUAUAUUCAUUGAAUAACGGUGUGUCAAGCUUCGCUUGUAAUUCCAUCUUCUUUCCCUGUUUUCUUUAUUUUUGUUUACGCUUUAACCUGUUUGAAGAUUUGAUUUUCUUAACCGUUUUUUGCUUUAUAUUUUGUAUGUUUUGAUCUCUUAAAAUCACUGUUGCAUUAUAUGUUCUUAGUUUUGAUUUUUUGUUCCUCCUUUUGAUUUGUAUGUUCGAAGAUUUCAUUUUUUUAAAUUCAUUCUGAUUUAAUUUCUUGUUUCAGGUGCGAUUUGCUUGAUAUUUACAUAUAAUAUGUGUCAGGUAUGCUUAAUGUUGCCAAUUUUGAAUAUCCUGAUGUUUGCAUGUCAGCUCAGAUACUUGAAUUUGAGAAGAUACCAGAGGCCUCUAUCCUUUCAUCCCUUGGAUGGACCACGUCAAAUAAUAGAAGAUAUAUAUUUUUGUUAAAAAAAUACACAUCCUCAGAACUAUAUGUAAAUAAAACAACGAAUAACAUUAGAUGAUUGACUUUUAAUGUUGUUGAAUGCGUAGGUGAACGUCCAAUCAAAACCUUAAUCUACAUGCAUAUUUAAUAGCUAUGAGACUCCAUCGUUCGCCCUUACCAAUUAUCUGUUCUAUUUUUAAUUUUUAAUUAAUAAAACAUUCCUCAGCGCCGUCUAAGAAGUCCUAACAUACCUUGAAUGCUGAACACAUACCACGAACCCUCAAGAUUUCACCCUUUUCUUUCCCAAAAUUUCAAAACAUUCUCAAUCUAUCAAAUAUAUUAUUCAUAAGUAAGAGAAUUCAAUUUAUAAUUGAAUUUCAACCAUGAUAUCAUUUCACAUGUCAAUUUCAUAUUUUGUAAAUUUCAAACUUAGGGCUUCGUCUCAAGUUACUCCAAAUCUCAUACAUUUAACAAUGUUCAUAGAGUACAAUAUAUCUAAUAUUUAAUUACACAUGCUAAAUAUUAAAACUUAAAUCGUAAUAUGAUAACUAUAAGAAAAUCUGAAAUCAGAAAAUGAUACAGUACCUAAAAUAAUAAGUCAAUGCUUGAUUAUAUCCCUAUUUACAAGUUUCAUAAUAUCAGUUUUAACUAAUCAUUAGCUCAUGAUUUUCCAUCAUAAUCCCUUCAAUCAUUGUCCAUCCUUAGCCAUCCAAAAACUGGCUAAGUUUUCCAUCCAAAAAAAGUGUGUUGCACUUCUGUCACUUCCACACAACCAUUACUUAGAGUUAUACAUUCAAAUCAAUAUAAGAAAUAAUUAUGUGUAUACAUUUUAGCAGUUAGUGUAUAUGAACAGAAAUUUGAGGUUUGAUUAGAUUCAUCUGAAACAACAAUUUUAAAUUUUUACAACUAUUUUCGUCCGUCUUCUCUUGCAUUCAGAUAAAUUUAGUAUAUAAAUUUUUACUUGAUAUAUUAAUUAUAUUAAAGUACAAUAAAGAAUAGACAAAUCAAACAUAUAUCUUUGUAAAAAGAAAGUACUUGUUUUAUAAUUAUAUGAAAAUACAACAAAGGAUAGCAUGUGUUUCCUACCCUUUUAAUAUUGAUGAAUGCACAGAUAGUCGUUCAAGAAAAAUCCAAACCUAGAAGUACACCUAAUAUCUGCAACGACAACAAUCUAACUACCCGGAGAACUUACCCUUACCCUACAAUUAGUAUUCUUAUCGGGUAAGAGAUUAUUUAAUAGAUUCUCAGCUUAAGAAAUAAUAAUAUUAAUAAUUAAAAAAAUUAAAGAAUAAAUUAACAAACUUACCGCAAAAUUUGUACUAACCUAAAAUAGUUGUCAUCACAAUAUUUUGCGGAGAAAUUUUGACUUUUUGAGAGUCGUCACUUAAUUUCUGAAAAGGAAUUAAGAAACCUUUAGAGAGUUACUUCAAACAAUUCAAAACAGGAAAACGUUUGAGUUUUGAAGAUUCUGAGUAAGCAGUUCCUAUUAACAUUUUAGGAAGGUGUUAGGCACCUAAAACGUCCGCUAACUUGCGGUUAUCCAAUUUGUUUGAAAAUCAUCUCUUUUGACAAACUUGAAAAUCGACUUGUGGGAAAAGUAAUUGAUUAAGGAAAUUUUUUUUUGCAAAAUCAGUUUUUUAGCGACUUAGUGAGGAGGUUAACUAUAUUCGAACACUAAGCAAAUAAAAUAACGAAAGAGAAAUAGAGGAAGAAAUAAAUGAUUUGGGCCUUCAUACCCAAAUCCGUCACCCUGUCUUAGUCUAGAUAUUGGGCUUUCGGCCCGUCUUUCACCUGUCCUAGUCUGUAUUUCGAGCCUUUGGCUUUAGUAUUGCUCCACCUGUAUUAAAUUUACAACUUUGACUUCGAGGCCCAAAUGAAUGAAUGAAUGAAUAAAUAAAUAAAUAAAUAAAUAAAUAAAUAAAUAAAUAAGUAAAUAAAUAAAUAAAAGACGAUAAUAAAUUUAUAAAAUGAAAUAAUAAAUGAGACUUUUAUCUCUUAACCACUUCAAAGAUGGAACUUUAACUCAUUCUUCUUCUUUUGACUCUUUACACUCAUAUGCCGCGGAAAACGCUUUAGACUUCUUUUGGGCUUUAACUCGAAAUUAAUCACUUAUUUCUGCAGCUCAUGAUUUCUUAAAGUCGAGUUUAAGGAAUGGUCUAAAACAAAAUUAGUGGCUUUGAUACCAUUUCAAAGAGUCUAAUCACAAAUCUUAAAUAAUUUGUGAAGUUAUCCCCGACCAUUAUAAGUCCCUUCAAAAUUCUUACUGUUCUGUCUCUGUUUUGCUUCAAGCAUUUAAUUUAUAAAAUUAACUAGCUUGAUUAAAUUAAUUACAUACAGUAGGAGGUUUAAUUUUAGAGCUCUCAAAUAUUGAAGAAGAUCCAAAUUUCUAAAAAUCAAAUUUGAGACCUCUAUCUAAUAAGGUAUUAGAAACCUUUAAUUAGCCAUAUGAGUCAUCAACCCUUUGGUAGCACUAGACUUCUUAUUGUGAGCUAAGUUCAAAGUAUAUUUGAUAUCAACACAAUAAUUUUAGAGAACUCUCAUGUUCUUUUUUCUCACAAUUAAAAUUAGGAUUAGAUUGUGGUAUAGAAUAAUCCGAUAUACUGUAACAAUCACUAUCAAUUAGUUAGUAAUACAGGUCAAAGAGGUAUCUUAGCAUUCGAGGACAUGAAGACGUGAGGGAACACCUGAGCUUGUGGAGCUGCCUAACCAAGGAACAAGCUUUGAAGUGUAGAGAACAAGUCCCAGCACUCCAAAGCUGUCCAAGAAGUCAAGCCCCUUUGUUUGGGCUCAUUAAGGACCUUUAGGUCAUUUAUGUAACAAGUGUUGCCCUAACUUAUAAAUAGAACAAUUGGAUCAUUUUGUCAUUUAGACUUUGAUGAUAUGUUUUGAGAGCACCAUAGAGUGUCUUGUAAAGUGGAAUCCUUGUGUUGGUAACUUGCUUAGAAACGUUGGUUGUUUGGGGAUUCCAGUUCCCUUGAGUUCACGUAAGAGAUAGGUUUAUGUUGUGUGUGGUAUUAAAGGUUCAAGAGUAGAAUAAGGUCUUAGGUUGUUAAUAUUACAUCUCCAUUUGUCUAUCUUUCUAUCUUUACUUUGUUCUAAUUGUUGGUCUUCUUGUUCUAGUAUUGUAACCCGUGACUUGUUGUCAUUGUUAUAUCCUUCUUGUUAUUCAUCUGGUCUUCAUAUUGUUGUUGUUAAUCUUACUUUGGGUUGGUUGUUUCGGUGUUAAAACACACCUUUUACUCGUCAUUAUUGUUGUUAUUGUUGAAUCCGAGUGUGGUCUCUAAACGGUCCUUGAAUUUUCGGAUUUGUGGACUGUUUUGAGUGUGUUUUCUUGUAUUCUUGAUAAUUCCGGGAUCGGUUAGUGAGUCUAGCUUCGGUUUGUACACGUGAGUUCUCAUUAUAUGAUUUAUUAUGUGUGAUCUAAUAAAAUUAGACUAAAUUACGUGUAUUCUUUCAAUUUACCAUAAGACUUCCUAAGAAGAUGUACAUUACAACACGCUCGGUAUAUACCAAUUGCUCCAAAUAGAUGUAUUUAGACCUUUAUUAUAACUAUUAAUAAUGGCAUAUGGUUAUAUAAAAUGCUUGCAUAUGCCCUCGUCUCUUGACAAUAUGGAAAAUGUUACUUAGUAUACAAUCCAAGGUAAAAUAAAUAAUGAGAAGUUAAUAAGGGGUGAAAGUGAAACAAACACAUUUAUUCAUCCAGUGAUGAAAUUCAUAGAUUAAUUAGAUUUUAUGAAACGAAAUUCCUAACACACAUCUCCUCAAUUCACCAUUUUUAAAUAAAUGGUUCCAUAUAUAUUAUUGAAUUAACUAAGAAGAUCAGGCCUGGUUCUUUCAACAGCCAAACAAGUGCUAAGCAAUUUCUUACUACCCUGAUAGAAAGUUGCAAAUUCAGCUGGCAUUGGUGUUUUCUUGAAUUCACCUUUACAAUCAUCCAAUCUUGUCAUUGCUGCUGAUAUUUUGAUGUUUGCACUUUUAGUUUUGUCACCUGUUUUCAACAACUCUUCUACCUCUUUCAAUGUCUCGAGAGCAUCAUUAUAUGAUUCUUUGCACCCUUUCCCAAUCUUAUUUUUUAAUUUUUGAUCUGUUGUUGGUGGCAAUUUUGCUAGCAUAUUUGCCAUAAUUGGCUCUGCCAAUUUAAUUUGCAUAAUUGUCUCUGACAACACACCAGUAAUUGCCUCUUGCCAUGUGUUAGCUGCCUUGACAACUUCAUUGCAAAAGGGCUUGUCUAAGGCUUUCACACAAAAUGGGCUUUCUUUGUAUGCUGGGGCUUCUUGUGCACUUGAUUGACAUGCAAAUAAAACACAAGUUAAAGCCAGAGAGACCAAUGACAAAGUAACCCCAUUUCUAUAAGACAUUUUCUAUUUUUUAUAUUGAUUUUUUUUUUUGCAAUUGUGAUUAUGUUUUUUUUUUUUUGUCACUUUUCUAAGAUGGUCUUCUCUGGGUUAAAUUUGAAAUGAAGAGGUAAAAAGUAUAUAUAAGUUUGUUUGGAACGGUAAUUGGGUGGAUGUUUGGAAUAUAUGGCUUGCAUUAUUUUGCUCUUUUGUUGUUGAAUUUUCCACAGCAUAAUGAGCACAUUUAUGAAUUAACUAGGAGUAGUUGUUUAUUCUCCCUCCGUUUAAAAAAGAAUAACCUACUUUGACUUGAUACAAAGUUUAAGAAAAAAAAAAAAACUUUUGAAUCUUGUGGCCUUAAAUUAAAGUUGUAUCAAAUGUACCAAAAUGUCUUUUAAUUUUGUGGCCCUAAAUAUGUCAUUCAUGUGUAAAGUUAAAAUUAAAGUAUUAUAAAAAAAGUAAAAAAAUCAUUCAUUUUGAAACGGACUAAAAAGAAAAGUAAUCUCGGAGUAAGCUCUUUUCCAUG